rnacentral:rRNA from 1 species
AUGAGAACUAGCCUUCGCAGUGCUGAGGCAAAUGAAGGCGAUUUGGCUGAGAUAGUUGCCUACUUCGAGCAAAAGCAGGAAGAAGACCCAGACUUCUUCUUCAAAAUCAAAAAGGAUGGAAUAGGCAGAGCUAAGAGUUUGUUUUGGGUUGAUGGGAGGCCUCGAGAGGCCUACGUAAAAGAUUACAAUGAUUGUAUCUCUUUUGACACGACCUACUUGACGAAUAUGUAUAACAUGCCAUUUGCUCCAUUUAUUGGGAUGAACAGGCAUGGGCAGUCUUUCUUGCUGGGGUGUAGCUUCUUGCGGCAAGAGCUUGAGACCAGCUUUCAUUGGUUGUUUGGGGCCUUUCUUGAAGCGAUGCAUGGCAUUGCACCGCUCAACAUCAUAACUGACCAAGACCAGGUGAUGAAAAACUCUAUAGCAAACAUUUUCCCAUGCGCAGUUCACCGUAGUUGCCACUGGCAUAUCAUUAAGAAAGCCCAAGAGAAGUUGGGUCCUUACUUGGCUAGGCAUCCUGAGCUAGCUAAACAAUUAAAUGAGGUGAUAGACUUGAGCAUGACUACUGAGGAGUUUGAGGUAAGGUGGGCUGCUAUUGUUGAGAAGCAUGGCAUUGUUGGCGAUAAACGCUUUGAUGAUCUCUAUGCCAUCAAGCAUCUUUGGGUCCCUUGCUACUUUAGGAACUGUUUCUUCCCAUUCCUCCAGUCGACUCAGCGGAGUGAAGGCUUCAAUGCUGUCCUAAAAAGUUACGUGAACCUGCAAAAUUUUGUGCUCAACUUUGUGAAGCAAUGUGAGAAGAUAAAUGACAAGAUCUUGGUGAAAGAAGGGGGUAAUGAUUAUCGAACAUAUGAGCUUGAGCCAAGGCUUUGGUCCCUGUUCCCAAUUGAGAAGCAAGCCUUGCGAGUUUACACAAGGGAUAUAUACUACAGGUUUCAACAUGAGUUUUCUUUGAUUGGCAUGUAUAAUGUUAGGCCUCAAGGCGGCAACAUGUACCUGCUUGAGCCUAACAGAAUUUAUGUAGGGAUUUAUGGGCAUAGACUGUACAUGGUAACAGCACAGGUUGAUCAGCAAGAGUAUGGUUGUGAGUGUUGCAUGUUUUACAGGGAUGGGCUGCUUUGUGUCCACAUCUUAAAA